AUUGAACGCUGGCGGCAUGCUUUACACAUGCAAGUCGAGCGGCAGCGCGGCCUUCGGGCUGGCGGCGAGCGUCGAACGGGUGAGUAAUGCAUCGGAACAUGCCCAGUCGGGGGGGAUAACACCUCGAAAGAAGUGCUAAUACCGCAUACGUCCUGAGGGUGAAAGCGAGGGAUCGCAAGACCUUGUGCGAUUGGAGUGGUCGACGUCAGGUUGGCUAGUUUGUGGGGUAAGGGCCUUCCUAGGCGGCGAUUUGUGGGUGGUCUGAGAGGAUGAUAGGCCACACUGGGACUGGGACACGCCCCAUAGUCCUACGGGAGGCAGCAGUGGGUAAUUUUGGGCAAUGGGGGCAACCCUGAUCCAGCCAUUCGGCGUGAGUGAAGACGACCUUGCGGUUGUAAAGCUCUUUCGGCAGGAACAAAACGGUGUGCUCUAACAUAGACCGUUAAUGACGGUACCUGAAGAAGAAGCACCGGCUAACUACGUG
rnacentral:rRNA from 1 species